rnacentral:rRNA from 1 species
CCUACGGGGGACUGCAGUGGGGAAUAUUGCACAAUGGGCGCAAGCCUGAUGCAGCCAUGCCGCGUGUAUGAAGAAGGCCUUCGGGUUGUAAAGCACUUUCAGCGGGGAGGAAGGGAGUAAAGUUAAUACCUUUGCCCAUUGACGUUACCCGCAGAAGAAGCACCGGCUAACUCCGUGCCAGAAGCCGCGGUAAUAAGGAGGGUGCAAGCGUUAAUCGGAAUUACUGGGCGUAAAGGGAACGCAGGUGGUGUGUUAAGUCAGAUGUGAAAUCCCCGGGCUCAACCUGAGAACUGCAUCUGAUACUGGCAGGCGUGAGGCUAGGAGAGGGAGGUAGAAUUCCAGGUGUAGCGGGGAAAUGCGGAGAGAUCUGGAGGAAUACCGGUGGCGAAGGCGGCCCCCUGGACGGAGACUGACGCUCAGGUGCGAAAGCGUGGGGAGCAAACAGGAUUAGAUACCCGGGUAGUC